rnacentral:snoRNA from 1 species
GGUGUUGCUGGAUGAUGCUUGUGCUGCAGUCAUGCUUUGGCUCUGAUCACUUAGUGUUUGCCAGAAGUUCCUGCGCUGACCGCUUGAGCUCAGGCUGUUUGCAGCAAGGCUGAGGUCUGACAGAAAUGGU